rnacentral:rRNA from 1 species
CCUACGGGAGGCUGCAGUGGGGAAUAUUGGGCAAUGGGCGCAAGCCUGAUCCAGCAACGCCGCGUGAAGGAAGAAGGCUUUCGGGUCGUAAACUUCUUUUCUGAGGGACGAAGAAAGUGAUGGUUCCUCAGGAAUAAGCCACGGCUAACUACGUGACAGCAGCCGCGGUACUACGGAGGUGGCAAGCGUUCUCCGGAUUUAUUGGGGGUAAAGGGCGUGUAGGCGGGGAAGCAAGUCAGGUGUGAAACCUCAGGGCUCAACCCUGGGCCUGCAUUUGAAACUGUUGUGCUUGAGUGCAGGAGAGGCAGGCGGAAUUCCGUGGGUAGCGGUGAAAUGCGUAGAUAUACGGAGGAACACCGGUGGCGAAGGCGGAUUGCUGGACAGCAACUGACGCUGAGGCGCGAAAGCGUGGGGAGCAAACAGGAUUAGAUACCCGUGUAGUC